rnacentral:rRNA from 1 species
CAAUAGCGUAUAUUAAAGUUGUUGCGGUUAAAAAGCUCGUAGUUGGAUCUCGGCAGGCAGGGGGUGGUUCGCUCUUAGCGCUACUGCCCCAUUUGCCUGUGUGAUUGGCGGAGGUUUCGGGGUGCUCUUCGUUGAGUGACCCGGGGCGCCGUCAGGUUUACUUUGAAAAAAUUAGAGUGCUCAAAGCAGGCUUUUCACGCUUGAAUAUUCGUGCAUGGAAUAAUGGAAUAGGAACUCGUUUCUAUUUUGUUGGUUUUCGGAAAUCGAGUUAAUGAUUAAUAGGGACAAUUGGGGGUAUUAGUAUUCAGACGACAGAGGUGAAAUUCUUGGACCGUCUGAAGACUAACUACUGCGAAAGCAUUUGCCAAGAGUGUUUUCAUUAA